rnacentral:rRNA from 1 species
UCCUGCGUCAGGAUGAACGCUGCGGCGUGCUUAACACAUGCAAGUCGAACGAGAACCAUUGGAUCAAGGAUUCGUCUGAGUGAAGGUGGGGAAAGUGGCGGACGGGUGAGUAACGCGUGAGCAAUCUGCCUUGGAGUGGGGAUAACGGCUGGAAACAGCCGCUAAUACCGCAUGAUACAGCUGAGCCGCAUGGCUCUGGCUGUCAAAGAUUUAUCGCUCUGAGAUGAGCUCGCGUCUGAUUAGCUGGUUGGCGGGGUAAAGGCCCACCAAGGCGACGAUCAGUAGCCGGACUGAGAGGUUGGCCGGCCACAUUGGGACUGAGACACGGCCCAGACUCCUACGGGAGGCAGCAGUGGGGAAUAUUGGGCAAUGGGCGCAAGCCUGACCCAGCAACGCCGCGUGAAGGAAGAAGGCUUUCGGGUUGUAAACUUCUUUUAAGAGGGACGAAGGAAGUGACGGUACCUCUUGAAUAAGCCACGGCUAACUACGUG